AGGGUUUCUACUCUAAAUACACACUUAAAAUAUUUUCUGUGCUGAAGUGACAUAACACAUGAUGGGUGAUGAUACCUGUGCAUCUCCUAAAGGCUGUAACCUCCUUGCUGUGGUGGUGCAUGAGUUUGGACACGCAUUCAUCAGAUCCUGGAGCCAUCAUGUUCCCAGCCUAUAAUUUUGGCUUGCACACUGUUUUGCAACUGUCUUUCCAGGAUGUCAAAGAUAUACAGCAAAUGUAUGCUAUGGGUGUAUUUAUUUCUUCAUGGGACCUCAACAACUGGAAUUCAACCCCAAAAUUAGACGAGUAACUAAGACAAUGGCUGCACACACAUGGCUUCAAUGCCGAGAAAUAACAGGCAGUUGAUCAGUACCACACCGUAUAGUGAUGGGAACCAGAUUGCAAAUUAUUUUGUUGCAUCUGGUUUAAUGGUUUCCCGUUGCAUGAAUCCAAAUUAAUGGUUUUGAAAUAUAUUGCCUCAGAAGCCUACGAACCACACAGCUGUGAAUCUCAUUGAGUGAUGAUGAAAGCAUGUAUAUACAUUUUGUGUAAUGUAGCUUUUUUUACAUGGCAUACUUCCCCAAAAGAAACAGGUUUGUUUAUAGAGCUAGUUCAUUAUUUUAGCUUAGUUUUAGUACAUGAUGGGUCUGCAAGAAUAGCAAGUUUUAUAGCUUAUGCUAAUCAUUGGGCUUUUUUGCAGAUUCAUCAUGUACUGUAUUAAAACUAAAGUAAAGUACAUUUUUGGUUCUAAUGGACUAUUGUAUUUCAUCAUAAUUAACUCAAGCAAUUACUCAGAUCACCAAUAAUAAUCUUUAAAAAUAAGCUCUGAAGACAUCCAGUGUUGAAAAACAUGGACAAGAAACAGUUUCAAAACAGAAACUUAUUUAUUCUGGUCCAUUUCACAAAUGAUUGACACAGAGCUGUCAUAACCCAUCUGCUCAUGUCUCACAUCUCAUUACAACACUAAAGGACAAAAAGGAUGUUUUGAAUGCAUUGGGCUUCCCUUACUCAAGAUGAUACGUGAGAAAAAGUGGGAUUUUGUAGCAAACACACCUAUAAUAAUCGACUAAAAAUGCAGCAGAGUAACUGUUGAACAAAUACACAUUUUACUUUGUCACUUAACUGAAAUCGCUUUUUUUGGGGGGGACUGUGAACAAUUAGAGUAAUCCCAAAUUAUGUAAAUGAAACAAAUGUGGCAGAUAUAGUUUCUAAAUGAUGUCAGAACACAAUUUUCGCAGGAUUUUUCAGAAAACACCAAUAUUGAUCUAACCAUGAGUAGGUAAUGAGGAGCUGCACAUUGGCUGCUUACGGUCUUACCACAAAUACCACGGUUAUUGCAACUGGAGAUACUAUGCAAGAGUUUUUGUAAGACUCCUUACGAUCAAUGUCGUGCAUUGUCAUGGGAAAAUGCAUUUAAAAAAAAUCUUUUUUUUUCUUAUUCACUUUUAACUUUUGCACAAUUUUUGGAAUUUGUGACAAGAUUUCAUCUACAUUUAGCAUUAUUAAUCAGUAUGUUAAGAGCAUUUUUAAGGAUUUAAAACUAAACAUAAUUGUUAAGAUUGGGAAAAUCAUUUGCACACGGCAAGGAAAGACAACAGAAACUUUGAAAUUACUAGUUAACUUUGUUUUCUGCUCAUGAUGAGAGUGUUUUGAAUGUGUUUGUUUUAAGUAAAAUAUAAAAAUGGUCCAUACUUCAAGAGGNUAACUGGCAUCAUUACAUAUAUUUAACAGGCAACACUAUUAAGUGGCAGCAUUCCUCUAAUUUUCACUGAGACUGCAAGAUGGCAACCCACUCUACGGUGACUGCAACAGGAGGGGGUCCAGAUGAAGGCCAAAGGCCAAUCCCGAAAUUUGUGAUUUUUAGAAUAUUGCAGCUUUACAGUGAAACUAAUUAUUUCAAGUCCCCCAAAAAGGCUGGUUGUCCAUGUAAGAAAAAUGCAUGAAAAGACAGGAUAAUGCGGAAACUCUCAAUGGGGAAUCGGUUCAACACUGCAGCUGGAAUUGCUCACCAGUUCAGUGCUGAACAGGGUCGGACUGAAAGCGCACUCUGCAGUUACCAAGCCUCUCAUCAGCAGAAAGAAUCAAAAGGCUAAGCUCACCUCUGCUGAGGAGCAUGUUGUGUGGAGAGAGGAGAACUGGUCCAAAGUUCACUUUAGUGAUGAGAGCAAGGUUAAUUUAUUUGGGUCUGACAGAAACAUUUUGUUGAAAGGUGGAGGAGGAAGUGUCAUGGUUUGGGGGAUGUUUUGUGCAGCAGGAGUUGGGCCUCUUAU
rnacentral:lncRNA from 12 species